rnacentral:rRNA from 1 species
GGGUUGUGAGGUUAAGCGACUAAGCGUACACGGUGGAUGCCCUGGCAGUCAGAGGCGAUGAAGGGCGUGCUAAUCUGCGAUAAGCGCCGGUAAGGUGAUAUGAACCGUUAUAACCGGCGAUACCCGAAUGGGGAAACCCAGUGUGAUUCGUCACACUAUCAUUAACUGAAUCCAUAGGUUAAUGAGGCGAACCGGGGGAACUGAAACAUCUAAGUACCCCGAGGAAAAGAAAUCAACCGAGAUUCCCCCAGUAGCGGCGAGCGAACGGGGAGGAGCCCAGAGCCUGAAUCAGCAUGUGUGUUAGUGGAAGCGUCUGGAAAGGCGCGCGAUACAGGGUGACAGCCCCGUACACAAAAGCGCAUGUGCUGUGAGCUCGAUGAGUAGGGCGGGACACGUGGUAUCCUGUCUGAAUAUGGGGGGACCAUCCUCCAAGGCUAAAUACUCCUGACUGACCGAUAGUGAACCAGUACCGUGAGGGAAAGGCGAAAAGAACCCCGGCGAGGGGAGUGAAAAAGAACCUGAAACCGUGUACGUACAAGCAGUGGGAGCACAGGUUUACCUGUGUGACUGCGUACCUUUUGUAUAAUGGGUCAGCGACUUAUAUUCUGUAGCAAGGUUAACCGCAUAGGGGAGCCGGAGGGAAACCGAGUCUUAAUUGGGCGUUAAGUUGCAGGGUAUAGACCCGAAACCCGGUGAUCUAGCCAUGGGCAGGUUGAAGGUUGGGUAACACUAACUGGAGGACCGAACCGACUAAUGUUGAAAAAUUAGCGGAUGACCUGUGGCUGGGGGUGAAAGGCCAAUCAAACCGGGAGAUAGCUGGUUCUCCCCGAAAGCUAUUUAGGUAGCGCCUCGUGAAUUCAUCUCCGGGGGUAGAGCACUGUUUCGGCUAGGGGGCCAUCCCGGCUUACCAACCCGAUGCAAACUGCGAAUACCGGAGAAUGUUAUCACGGGAGACACACGGCGGGUGCUAACGUCCGUCGUGAAGAGGGAAACAACCCAGACCGCCAGCUAAGGUCCCAAAGUCAUGGUUAAGUGGGAAACGAUGUGGGAAGGCCCAGACAGCCAGGAUGUUGGCUUAGAAGCAGCCAUCAUUUAAAGAAAGCGUAAUAGCUCACUGGUCGAGUCGGCCUGCGCGGAAGAUGUAACGGGGCUAAACCAUGCACCGAAGCUGCGGCAGCGACGCUUAUGCGUUGUUGGGUAGGGGAGCGUUCUGUAAGCCUGUGAAGGUGGCCUGUGAGGGUUGCUGGAGGUAUCAGAAGUGCGAAUGCUGACAUAAGUAACGAUAAAGCGGGUGAAAAGCCCGCUCGCCGGAAGACCAAGGGUUCCUGUCCAACGUUAAUCGGGGCAGGGUGAGUCGACCCCUAAGGCGAGGCCGAAAGGCGUAGUCGAUGGGAAACGGGUUAAUAUUCCCGUACUUGGUGUUACUGCGAAGGGGGGACGGAGAAGGCUAUGUUGGCCGGGCGACGGUUGUCCCGGUUUAAGCGUGUAGGUGUGUGUUCCAGGUAAAUCCGGUUCACUUUAACACUGAGGCGUGAUGACGAGGCACUACGGUGCUGAAGCAACAAAUGCCCUGCUUCCAGGAAAAGCCUCUAAGCAUCAGGUAACAUCAAAUCGUACCCCAAACCGACACAGGUGGUCAGGUAGAGAAUACCAAGGCGCUUGAGAGAACUCGGGUGAAGGAACUAGGCAAAAUGGUGCCGUAACUUCGGGAGAAGGCACGCUGACACGUAGGUGAAGUGAUUUACUCAUGGAGCUGAAGUCAGUCGAAGAUACCAGCUGGCUGCAACUGUUUAUUAAAAACACAGCACUGUGCAAACACGAAAGUGGACGUAUACGGUGUGACGCCUGCCCGGUGCCGGAAGGUUAAUUGAUGGGGUCAGCGCAAGCGAAGCUCCUGAUCGAAGCCCCGGUAAACGGCGGCCGUAACUAUAACGGUCCUAAGGUAGCGAAAUUCCUUGUCGGGUAAGUUCCGACCUGCACGAAUGGCGUAAUGAUGGCCAGGCUGUCUCCACCCGAGACUCAGUGAAAUUGAACUCGCUGUGAAGAUGCAGUGUACCCGCGGCAAGACGGAAAGACCCCGUGAACCUUUACUAUAGCUUGACACUGAACAUUGAGCCUUGAUGUGUAGGAUAGGUGGGAGGCUUUGAAGCGUGGACGCCAGUCUGCGUGGAGCCGACCUUGAAAUACCACCCUUUAAUGUUUGAUGUUCUAACGUGGACCCGUAAUCCGGGUUGCGGACAGUGUCUGGUGGGUAGUUUGACUGGGGCGGUCUCCUCCUAAAGAGUAACGGAGGAGCACGAAGGUUGGCUAAUCCUGGUCGGACAUCAGGAGGUUAGUGCAAUGGCAUAAGCCAGCUUGACUGCGAGCGUGACGGCGCGAGCAGGUGCGAAAGCAGGUCAUAGUGAUCCGGUGGUUCUGAAUGGAAGGGCCAUCGCUCAACGGAUAAAAGGUACUCCGGGGAUAACAGGCUGAUACCGCCCAAGAGUUCAUAUCGACGGCGGUGUUUGGCACCUCGAUGUCGGCUCAUCACAUCCUGGGGCUGAAGUAGGUCCCAAGGGUAUGGCUGUUCGCCAUUUAAAGUGGUACGCGAGCUGGGUUUAGAACGUCGUGAGACAGUUCGGUCCCUAUCUGCCGUGGGCGCUGGAGAACUGAGGGGGGCUGCUCCUAGUACGAGAGGACCGGAGUGGACGCAUCACUGGUGUUCGGGUUGUCAUGCCAAUGGCACUGCCCGGUAGCUAAAUGCGGAAGAGAUAAGUGCUGAAAGCAUCUAAGCACGAAACUUGCCCCGAGAUGAGUUCUCCCUGAGACUUAGAGUCUCCUGAAGGAACGUUGAAGACGACGACGUUGAUAGGCCGGGUGUGUAAGCGCAGCGAUGCGUUGAGCUAACCGGUACUAAUGAACCGUGAGGCUUAACCUUACAACGCCGAAG